UUCCCAAUUAGUAAGACCCCUUGAAGACGACGAGGUAGAUAGGUUGGAGGUGGAAGUGCAGCAAUGCAUGGAGCUGACCAAUACUAAUCGGUCGAGGGCUUAUCCUA
rnacentral:ncRNA from 1 species